GACGAACGCUGGCGGCGUGCCUAAUACAUGCAAGUCGAACGCAAUUGCGCACGGGUGAGUAACGCGUAGGUAACUGCCUGGUAGCGGGGGAUAACUAUUGGAAACGAUAGCUAAUACAGCAUACUACCAGAUGGACCUGCGUUGUAUUAGCUAGUUGGUGAGGUAACGUCUCACCAAGGCAACGAUACAUAGCCGACCUGAGAGGGUGAUCGGCCACACCGGGACUGGGACACGGCCCAGACGCCUACGGGAGGCAGCAGUAGGGAAUCUUCGGGAAUGGGGGGAACACUGAACGAGCAACGCCGCGGGAGGGAAGAAGGUUUUCGGAUCGUAAAGCACUGUUGUUAAGGAAGCGGUACUUAACCAGAAAGGGACGGCUAACUACGUGUCAGCAGCCGCGGUAAUUC
rnacentral:rRNA from 1 species